ensembl:snRNA U4 U4 spliceosomal RNA
CGCUUUGCUCAGUGGCAGUAUGGUAGCCAAUAAGGUUUAUCUGAGGCACUAUUACUGCUAAUUGAACAUUUGAUGCUUUUUUUUUAAAUUAUCCAACUGGUAAGCCUCUUAGAAAGCAAAGUCAUGUC